AUUGAACGCUGGCGGCAGGCCUAACACAUGCAAGUCGAGCGAGCGGCGGACGGGUGUGUAAUGUAUGGGGAUCUGCCUUAUGGGGGGGGAACUAUAGUAGACACGGUCUAUUAUCCCGCAAACCCUCAGAUGCACCCAUAUGGGAUUAGCUAGGAGGUAAGGUAACGGCUCACAUAGGCGACGAUCCCUAGCUGGUCUGAGAGGAUGAUGAGCCAAACUGGGACUGAGACACGGCCCAGAAUCCUACGGGAGGCAGCAGUGGGGAAUAUUGCACAAUGGGCGCAAGCCUGAUGCAGCCAUGCCGCGUGUAUGAAGAAGGCCUUCGGGUUGUAAAGUACUUUCAGUCGGGAGGCGUUACCGACAGAAGAAGCACCGGCUAACGCCGUGCCAGCAGCCGCGGUAAGUC
rnacentral:rRNA from 1 species